rnacentral:rRNA from 1 species
UAGGGAAUCUUCCACAAUGGACGCAAGUCUGAUGGAGCAACGCCGCGUGAGUGAAGAAGGGUUUCGGCUCGUAAAGCUCUGUUGUUAAAGAAGAACGUGGGUAAGAGUAACUGUUCAUACGUUGACGGUAUUUAACCAGAAAGUCACGGCUAACUACGUGUCAG